GCUGAUCCACAUGAUAUUCAAAUAAGAGGAGUCAACCGUGAUGAGAGGAGCAUACAGAUGGCCAAACAGUAUCCGAACUCCCGGCAUUUCUUGACAUAUAGACAUUCACUAAGGAGCUAUGCAUCAAUUCUAUACUUAAGAGUUGCUCCUGGCUUUCGGAUUAUUCUGCGGGGUAAAGACGUUGAGCACCAUAACAUAGUAAAUGAUAUGAUGAUGACCCAAGAGGUCACGUAUCGCCCUAU
rnacentral:misc_RNA from 1 species